rnacentral:rRNA from 1 species
UACGUAGGGUGCGAGCGUUGUCCGGAAUUACUGGGCGUAAAGAGCUCGUAGGUGGUUUGUCGCGUUGUUCGUGAAAACUCACAGCUCAACUGUGGGCGUGCGGGCGAUACGGGCAGACUGGAGUACUGUAGGGGAGACUGGAAUUCCUGGUGUAGCGGUGAAAUGCGCAGAUAUCAGGAGGAACACCGGUGGCGAAGGCGGGUCUCUGGGCCGAUACUGACGCUGAGGAGCGAAAGCGUGGGGAGCGAACAGG